CGCUGUGGUGGCGCAUGGUGUUUUCGCGUUCUUCGCGCGCGACGGUGGCGGUUAGCCGAUCGCCGAUCUUGACGGCGCCGUUCCGG
rnacentral:tRNA from 1 species